rnacentral:rRNA from 1 species
CCUACNGGUCGCACCAGUGGGGAAUAUUGCACAAUGGGCGCAAGCCUGAUGCAGCCAUGCCGCGUGUAUGAAGAAGGCCUUCGGGUUGUAAAGUACUUUCAGCGGGGANGAAGGGAGUAAANUUAAUACCUUUGCUCAUUGACGUUACCCGCAGAAGAAGCACCGGCUAACUCCGUGCCAGCAGCCGCGGUAAUACGGAGGGUGCAAGCGUUAAUCGGAAUUACUGGGCGUAAAGCGCACGCAGGCGGUUUGUUAAGUCAGAUGUGAAAUCCCCGGGCUCAACCUGGGAACUGCAUCUGAUACUGGCAAGCUUGAGUCUCGUAGAGGGGGGUAGAAUUCCAGGUGUAGCGGUGAAAUGCGUAGAGAUCUGGAGGAAUACCGGUGGCGAAGGCGGCCCCCUGGACGAAGACUGACGCUCAGGUGCGAAAGCGUGGGGAGCAAACAGGAUUAGAUACCCGGGUAGUC